UAUGAGAAUUAUAGACCAGUUUUGAGAAUAAAACCCCAAUUGUUCUUAUCCUACAACGUAGUAGUGAUAGCACUUCAAACAAAAUUGAAACCCCAAACCCUAACCCCACCUAACCACCCCAAAACCUCAUCUCUCAAUUUCAACAACCUCUCCAUCCGUACAAAAAUCGGUACCCGUAAUCCUAUCCAAAUUCGCGCGGCGGUCAAGGAAGAUUUCUCUUCCAACAAAAGCGGAAGCAAUGAGCAGAAGGAAACGAUUAUGCUUCCCGGUUGUGACUACAACCAUUGGCUCAUUGUGAUGGAGUUUCCUAAAGACCCUAAACCCUCUCGGGAACAGAUGAUUGAUACUUACCUUCAAACUCUUGCUACUGUCUUGGGAAGCUUUUGGAAGAAAAAUGCAGAAUUUGUCCUCGCUCGCAAGGUGUUCGAUCAAAUGUCCCAACCGAAUUCCUUUCAUGGCGAAGUUAGCGGUGAGAGAGGAAUUUGAUUUAGUUGAUGUUAACGGCUCAACGAAAUUGAGGAAUGUUUAUUGUAUGAGUACUGUGGAUGAUGAUAAAGGACUUGGUCCUACUGUUCCUUCUCAGAUUGAAAUUUCUGACAUUGUUAAUGGUAUGGUGUUUUCUUGUUUUGUUGAAUUUACUCUAUUGUCCUGUAAUGUUACCCGCAUUAUCACUGUAGUUCGCUGAUUCACCGCUGUAAUCAACUGUGGAUUAAUAGUAAAUGUCCAAUUUGGUCGUUGAAAUUGGAGGAGUCAUCCGGUGUUAUGUAAUCUACAUUAUCAAUAUUUGAAAUCAAUCCAUAAAAUAGCAAAAUGUUAAUCUAAUUUGUUCAUCCUUAUAUUGAUUUGCAAUUCAAUGCAUCCUGACAUUAUUCACUUUAUUUCAAAUUCACUAUUAAAUGCAUCAUUUUGCCUAACCUGAACCCUCACUUGCUGUCCAAGCGAUUAGUCUCACAGCUUUGCCUAUGGUGAUAUCCUGUUAAUCCACCGAAAGUUACUCAAGUAAUAAUUAAGCCACUUUAUGACAGGUAAUGGAUUGGAUUGUAACCUAGGCAAACUUUACCAGCAGAACUGUCAAUCCACCCAAACCUGUAGUUGCCAUUUUACGGGGGGAGUUUUGCCUGAGCAGAACCACCUCUAUCAGCCCAAGCUAUUAGUCUCACAACUUUUCCUGUGGUGUUAUCCUAUUAAAGAACAAAAAGCUACUCAAAAGUAAUAAACUAUGCCUCUUUAAGACAAGUAGUUUUAUUUGUAUAUCAAGUCCAAACUUGCUUAGCGCCACUCUACAUGCAGUUUCAACAGCAUUUAGAAUUCCGAAACUAGUGAAAUAUAUUCAGAAAGUAUCAUAGUGUUCCUUUUAACUUUAGUAUUAGAAUUCUAAUUGUUCUUAUCUCUGUCCAAGGACAUUUACCAUGUUCAUAAUUCGUAUGGUACAGACUGUCCCAGAUACCACCAAUAGAACCUAUUUCCAUUACAUUGCUUUCACACCGUAAAUUUAAAUACUCAUGUGCUAUACCAGUUUAGGGGACUAUUUUUUGCUAUUUAAAUACUCAUUGCCUAGUUUUUAUAAUAUUUGUUCCAUGUAGUUUAAGAAAUUCAUUCCUGGGAUAUAAUAUUAGAUGACUCUAUUAGUCUUAAUGUUGAGCUGAUUCUUGUACUAGCUAGGUCAUUAUGCAUGUAGUUUCUUAAAUCCAUCAGUUUUUGCAGUCAAAGAACUAUUGUUUUACUUGUUAUAAUUAGAUAUAUCAGACUAAUCAUUAAUUUCAUAUAUUAGAACAUUAUUUUGUUUUUUUUUAUGUUAUUUAUAUCAUAUCUGUUCUAUAUAAUUUAACAAAUUCCUGGAAUAUAUUAUGAGAGAUUACUCUAAUAAUCUCAACGGUUGAGCUGAGUCUUGUACUCUAAUAAUCUUUGAGCUGAAGGUAACUGGAAUGUUUGGUCUUUUUUUAACCCGAAUUUGUAUUCUUAAUGAUCCUUGAAUGUAGAAGAAAAGGUGUUAAAUUUUAGUUUAUGUGGAAGAUGGAAAACUAUAAUUAUCCGUGUUUCUAGAAUCUAAUAGUAUCAAGCUGAUGUUUCAUAUUCGAAUAAGCUAAGUUGAGAUAAUCCAUUGUUAAUUUUUGGUACAUCUUGAAACAGUUUUCUUUUCUCAACAUUUAUUUGUGACAUUAUGACAUCUCUUAAGCUACAAAAAUGUCUAGACAUUGCUCUUCAUAAAGCUCUCAUGUUCUUCAAUGCACAAAAAUGUUAGAUUUUUAUCCUUUUUAUGAGUGCCCUUUUUUCUUUUCAUACUAAAUCUAUAUUCAUUUUGUUUCAUAGGGAUUGAGUAAUAGUUCAAAAUUUGUUUUUAUUUUUGUGUCAAACAUGAGACUGAAGUUCCAAUUUUUGAUGAAAAAUGUUUCUUUUUUUGUUUAUGUUAGCUUAAUUUUAUAUGAAUUUUGUCAAUAGAAACAAUUUUGGUAUGUGAUUAAUAGUGUAAAGCAUGGAUCUUGAUGAAGAUGGGUUUUCUAUGGUAGUAAGUUUGCUUGAUUUGAUCUGUGAUUCUUUUUUAUUCUGUGUUAUAUAAGGACUAAUAGUGUAAAGUUUGAUCUUUUGAACUUCGGGUAUGCAAGAUGGAAAGGGUGCUGGUGUUUCUGCUGCAACCAAGGAUCUGGUUGGUGGAUACUAUGAUGUUGGAGAUGCCAUCAAGUUCAAUUUUCCGGCCGCUUUUUCCAUCACUAUGUUGAGUUGGAGUGUUAUUGAGUAUAGUGGUAAAUAUGAAGCUAUCGGGGAGCUUGAUCAUGUCAAGGAAAUCAUUAAAUGGGCCGCUGAUUAUUUUUUGUUUUAUUUUAUUUCAUUCUAUUUUGGUUAUCGCUGUGGGUUUAUAUUUCUGUCUGUAGUGUCUAUUAUGAUAUACGUAGUCGAUUUUAUACGUAGUUGAUUUCUGGAAAUCUUUGUUACUAUGGAUCUCAUGUGUUCGGUGUUCUUCGAGAGGUCGGGAGUGGAGAUACCUCAGAUGGAAGUACGACACCCAAUGAUCACUACUGCUGGAUGCGUCCAGAAGACAUUGAUUACGACAGGCCAGUCACCGAAUGUCACAGUUGUUCAGAGCUUGCUGCAGAGAUGGCUGCUGCCUUGGCGGCUGCAUCUAUUGUUUUCAAAGACAACAAAGCCUAUUCCAAGAAACUUGUUCAUGGUGCCGGUGCUUUCUGGGGAGGCCUGAUUAUGGAGUACUGAGCUGGGAUAACAAGCUUGCUAGUGCACAGGUUCUUCUUAGUCGUUUGAGGUUGUUCUUGAGUCUUGGGUAUCCAUACGAAGAAAUUCUAAGGACCUUCCACAAUCAGACCAGUAUAAUCAUGUGCUCCUACCUACCUGUUUUCACAAGCUUUAACAGAACCAAAGGAGGCUUGAUUCAAUUAAAUCAUGGUAGGCCUCAGGCCCUCCAAUAUGUUGUCAAUGCAGCCUUUUUGGCUACCCUAUAAAGUGAUUACCUUGAUGCCGCCGAUACUCCUGGAUGAUCCUGCUGCCGCAGCUGCUUCUUAGGACAACAAGGCGCUGAUCGUCGGCUAUUUGAUGCAUUUAUUCUGGCAAUAAACAAGGCUCUAACUUGUGCUAAUUUUGAGUUACACCGAGCGAGUAGGCUCCAGCAAAACUCCCAAGCAGUACCAGUCUGGGUGAACGACGACAUCGAUUCCAACGAUUUCGGCAACACCGACGGGAACUCAUAAGAGAAGCGCUUUGGUGGCAAUACUUGAUAACACGAUUCCAUACUGAUAUUUGAUAGAGAGCCAUUAGGUCUGCGUCGGUUGGGUUAGUUAGUAAGUUGCUUCUAAUUUAUUAGUCUAUUAGAUUGGAGAAUUGUUAGGUUUAUAAGUUUCGUUUUCUAUGUGAUGGAGGAAUUAUAACAAUGUUGUGCUGUAUGCAAGUGUAAGUAGUUGUUCUUUUAACAAAUAUGGAUGUUUUAGCUAGAUGAGAACUUGUUGUUUGUGCUGGAUGUUGAUAUUCAAGUGGGAUUAUGUAUGUGAUUGGAGAUAUUAAUACUAGAUCUCAUGCAUCGUAAUACUAGAUAUUAUUUCUAGUAUAAACCUUUUCAUA